CAGAACAUUUUUUUUUCUCCGUUAAUUUUUCUUAAUCAGUUGAUUCUUCAUUAAGUAACAUGAUACCAAAGAAUCACGUGGAGUAUAUAAACACAUAGUGUUUAAAUAUAUAAUAGAUUUUCUUUUUUUGGCAAAGUCCUAAUAUAGCAGGUGGUGCAGCUCUCCACCACCAGAAAGGACAGGCUACACCUGAAGACCCUCACGCCCAAAACCACAAUCAGAUGUGCACUAUGACAACCUGGGACACUGGUCUCUUCACUGUGAAAGGCGAAGGUGAUGCAACCUUUGUCCAUAGAGAAUGUCUAAGUAGAAAUGUCGCAAAUGCAAUGUUUUCUUGUGUUUGAAUGAAAACCAGAAAUGCUUUACAGUGUAUCACCAGAGGUAAAGUUGAUCUAUUUCAUGAAAAGCAUUUGUGCUAUUGCACAACCACACAGACAUAAGGUUUGUUGAGGUUAAAGGCUGAAAAUGUGGUGUUUUAAUGUUUG